rnacentral:lncRNA from 1 species
CCGUCCCAAUAUUUGUAUUUUGUUUUUUCCAAUAUUGUUGGAAGGUAUAAAAAUUUUCUCCGAUAUUUUAACAAAUACAAUUUUUAUAUACACAAUGCACAUUAAAUAGUGUUGCAUCAUCAAUUUAAAAAAUCAUAUCGAACUACAAAUUCAAUUUGUAAGCAUUAAUUAUCAUAAACACAAGUAUCUCCAAAUAUCAAACUUUUAUCAUUACAUUCAAAAGGUUAAAGUUCAAAUAACUUGAAUGUGUCUACAAAAUAUCAAACUUUCAAUAAUUUUUAAGUUCUAAUCCAAAGUCAUCAAUAUUACUACUCAUUAGCAUUUGAACCAUCAAUGGCAUUGCUUCCACGACUAACAAUACCAACCGAAGGAUCAUCUUCAUCCAAAUCCAUUAAAUCCAAAUAUCAGUUGUUGUCGUAGUCCCGCAUCAACCUCUCUACUCAUGCCAUGAACAAUAUCAACAUAAUUUGAAUAUUUAUUUGAUUGAGAUGUUGAGCCAUGGGU